rnacentral:rRNA from 1 species
UACGGAGGGUGCGAGCGUUGUCCGGAAUCACUGGGCGUAAAGGGCGCGUAGGCGGCUCAUGAAGGCUGUGGUGAAAGUCCGGGGCUCAACCUCGGAUCGGCCGUGGCGACUCGUGGGCUGGAGCACUGUAGAGGCGGGUGGAAUUCCGGGUGUAGCGGUGGAAUGCGUAGAGAUCCGGAAGAACACCAGUGGCGAAGGCGGCCCGCUGGGCCAUUACUGACGCUGAGGAGCGAAAGCGUGGGGAGCGAACAGGG